rnacentral:rRNA from 1 species
UACGAGGGGGGCGAGCGUUGUUCGGAAUUAUUGGGCGUAAAGGGUGCGUAGGCGGUUUGGUAAGUCUCUUGUGAAAUCUAUGGGCUCAACUCAUAGUCUGCAAGGGAAACUGCCGGGCUUGAGUGUGGGAGAGGUGAGUGGAAUUUCCGGUGUAGCGGUGAAAUGCGUAGAUAUCGGGAGGAACACCUGUGGCGAAAGCGGCUCACUGGACCACAACUGACGCUGAUGCGCGAAAGCUAGGGGAGCAAACAGG